UACGUAGGGGCCUAGCGUUGUCCGGAAUUAUUGGGCGUAAAGAGCUCGUAGGCGGUUCGGCAAGUCGGAUGUGAAAUCUCCACGCUCAACGUGGAGGGGCCAUUCGAAACUGCCGUGACUCGAGUCCGGUAGGGGAGUGUGGAAUUCCCGGUGUAGCGGUGAAAUGCGCAGAUAUCGGGAGGAACAUCAGUGGCGAAAGCGGCUUCCUGGACCAGUACCGACGUUCAGGCACGAAAGCGUGGGGAGCAAACAGG
rnacentral:rRNA from 1 species